CCUACGGGAGGCAGCAGUAAGGAAUAUUGGUCAAUGGAGGCAACUCUGAACCAGCCAUGCCGCGUGCAGGAUGACGGCCCUAUGGGUUGUAAACUGCUUUUAUACAAGAGAAAACCCUGGUACGUGUACCAGGUUGAUAGUAUUGUAAGAAUAAGCAUCGGCUAACUUCGUGCCAGCAGCCGCGGUAAGACGAAGGAUGCAAGCGUUAUCCGGAUUCAUUGGGUUUAAAGGGUGCGUAGGCGGACUGAUAAGUCAGUGGUGAAAUCUCUUUGCUUAACAAAGAAACUGCCAUUGAUACUGUCGGUCUAGAGUAUAGAUGACGUUGGCGGAAUAUGACAUGUAGUGGUGAAAUACUUAGAUAUGUCAUAGAACACCGAUUGCGAAGGCAGCUAACGAAACUAUAACUGACGCUGAGGCACGAAAGUGCGGGGAUCAAACAGGAUUAGAUACCCUGGUAGUCCGCACCGUAAACGAUGAUUACUCGUUGUUGGCGAUAUGACAGUCAGCGACCAAGCGAAAGCGAUAAGAAUCCACCUGGGGAGUACGCCGGCAACGGUUGAAACUCAAAGGAAUUGACGGCGNGAGAGNGCGACGGACGACGACGAGGGAGGAGG
rnacentral:rRNA from 1 species